UACGGGGGGGGCAAGCGUUGUUCGGAAUUACUGGGCGUAAAGGGCUCGUAGGUGGCCAACUAAGUCGGACGUGAAAUCCCUCGGCUUAACCGGGGAACUGCGUCCGAUACUGGAUGGCUUGAGUUUGGGAGAGGGAUGCGGAAUUCCAGGUGUAGCGGUGAAAUGCGUAGAUAUCUGGAGGAACACCGGUGGCGAAGGCGGCAUCCUGGACCAACACUGACGCUGAUGAGCGAAAGCCAGGGGAGCAAACGGG
rnacentral:rRNA from 1 species